UACGUAGGAGGCGAGCGUUGUCCGGAAUUACUGGGCGUAAAGCGUGCGCAGGCGGUUCGCUAAGACAGAUGUGAAAUCCCCGGGCUUAACCUGGGAACUGCAUUUGUGACUGGCGGGCUAGAGUAUGGCAGAGGGGGGUAGAAUUCCACGUGUAGCAGUGAAAUGCGUAGAGAUGUGGAGGAAUACCAAUGGCGAAGGCAGCCCCCUGGGCCAAUACUGACGCUCAUGCACGAAAGCGUGGGGAGCAAACAGG
rnacentral:rRNA from 1 species